rnacentral:lncRNA from 1 species
AACCAACACCAGAGGGUGUAUCAUGAUGUAUGUACAACUUCCUAGGUCAAAGGUCAAGGUCAAAAACUUUGGUUUCAGUUGACAACCCCGUAACCUGUGGUGAAGAUCGUGUCCGCUCCAUAUCUAGAUAACCGUUAUGAUUUCAAAGUUUAUACUUGACAUCCAUUUUAACCACCACCAGAGGGCGUGUCAUGAUGUAUGAUCAACUUCCUAGGUCAAAGGUCAAGGUAAAAAAAACUUUGGUUUCAGUUGACAACCCCGUGUCCUGUGGUGAAGAUCGUGUCCGCUCUAUAUCUUGAGAACCGUUAUGAUUUCAAAUAUUAUACAUGACAUCCAUUUUAACCAACACCAGAGGGUGUGUCAUGAUGUAUGUACAACUUCCUAGGUCAAAGGUCUGUCUGUCUGUUGGUCUGUCCAUCGCUAACAAAUUUGAUCCACAC